UACGAGGGGUGCAAGCGUUAUUCGGAUUUAUUGGGCGUACAGGGUGUGUAGGCGGUAUGUUAAGUCUGUUGUUAAAGACCUCGGCCUAACCGAGGAAAAGCGAUGGAUACUGGCAUACUAGAGGAUGGAAGAGAGAAGUGGAAUUCUUGGAGUAGCGGUAAAAUGCGUAGAUCUCAAGAGGAACACCGAUGGCGAAGGCAGCUUCUUGGUCCAUUCCUGACGCUGAGACACGAAAGCGUGGGGAGCAAACAGG
rnacentral:misc_RNA from 1 species